AAGCUUAACGCGUUCAUAUUCUCUCCUUGUAUUGCUUCAAGCAGUACUAUUUUAUCACUUACUUGCAGCUUGUUUUCUUGCUAGCUGCAACAAUCAUGACCCCUCUUGAAGUCUUUACUCUGGCUGAUUAAAUACUUUUUGCUGGGUCCUGUCGGUUUUUGAAGACAGUAACAGUUUAGAUCAUGGUGGGCAAACUAUGGCCUGCGGGCCAGAUCUGGCAGGCGAGCUGUUUAAAGUCAGCUCACGAGCUCCUGCUAAGGAGCAGGGUCUGGGGCUUGCCCCGCUCCGGUGUGCCAGCCAGGGAGCAGGGUCGGGGGUUGCACCAUGCAGGGCUCCCAGAAGCUGCAGCAUGGCCCCGCUCCAGCCAGGGCGCAGGAUCGAGGCCUGCACCAUGUGGCUCCCGGAAGCCAUGGCAUGGCCCCUCUCCGGCUUCUAAAUGUGACAAUGGCCCCCUCCGGUGCUUCAAUGGGAGCUGCAGGGGCAGUGCCUGCGGAUAGGGCAGCAUGCAGAGACGCCUAUCGGUGCCUCCACAUUGGAGCCAGAAAAGGGACAUACCGCUGCUUCCAGGAUCUGCUUGAGUGUUGCACCCUCAACACCUUAGUUUGGAGGUGGAAGAUGUGGCACGUUAAGAAUAAGUAAUCUCCCAAAGGGUUUUGAAAGGAUGGCUGUACAUUGCUUUGAAGAUAUACACAUGCUUUAAAAUGGGAGCUCCCAACUGACCUCACAGAGACUGGCCAGGAGCACUCACGUCUGCCCAGGUGCCCCCAACCAACCUAACCGAGGUCAUCCAGGAGCACGCAUGGGACGACAACGGCUAGCAGUUGUAUUGUACCAUCUGCAAGACAAGGCAAGGGGAUGCUCUGUGUUUCACUGCAGUACCGCGUCUGCCAGCAGCACCCAGGAGACAUACGGUGACAGUGAGUUGACCGGGCUCCAUGCUUUCCGUGGUAUGUUGUCUGCACGGGUAACCCAGGAAAAAAGGCGAGAAACUAUUUUUUGCUGUUGCUUUCAUGGAGGGAGGGAGGAAGGGGGGCCUGACGACAUGUACCCAGAACCACCCGCAACAAUAUUUUUGCCCCAUGAGGCAUUAGGAGCUCAACCCAGUAUUCCAAUUGAAGGUGGAGACUGUGAGAACUGUGGGAUAGCUACCACAGUCCAACAUUCCGAAAGUCGACUAGCCUCAGUACUGUGGAUGCACACCACCGACUUAAUGCACUUAGUGGGGACACACACAAUCGACUGUAUCAAAUCAAUUUCAAAAGUCGACUUCUAUAAAAUCGACCUAAUUUCGUAGUGUAGACAUAUCCUCAGUCUAAUGGGCUUCCCCCAAACAACUGAAACAGGAGUCAUGUGGGUCUCCCUUUGGCAUAGCGCUUCAGACAGGACCCGCACGGUUUGAAUCCCUGAUACUGAGGCAUGCCCCAGUUCCCAGGAGGGGGAGAACAUGGUGGUGGGAAACCCCCAGUUAAAACUUAUCUUAACUAACUAUGAACUAAUGAAAACGAACUAAUCCUAACAUUAACAAUUUACAGAUACAACAAGGGAAAUUCCACUAAGGCAGUGGCCCCCAACCUUUUCAUCUGGCAGAUGCCAGACGAAGGACCAUGGUGGCGGUCGAGCAUCCGCCGAAAUGCCGCCGAAUUUUGGCGGAUGCUCGACUGUCGGCCAGGACGCGGGCACAUUUAGAUGCCCCAUGGGCACCGCGUGGGCACCGCGUUGGGGACCCCUGCACUAAGGGAUGGAUUACCAUAGCAAGAGAAGAGAGCUGCUUCAAUGAUCGUCACUAGUGGCAAGAAGGAACUGAAGAGGCAGCUGGUCAACAGGGACCUAUAUACACUGACAUGAAGAUGCGACUCCAAGGGGCUACAUGGCCGACCUGACGGGUACCGCUAGAGGAAAAACCUUCCGACAACUGUGCACGUGGCACACGCACACCUACUUGGAAUCAACAUGAACAAGCACUCGAAGAAGAAGAAGUUGUUCCCCUUUCUUUGCUAUUUGAUAGAUUACAACACAGAAUCUGUCUCAUUUACUCAAAACCCUAGGAAUUACUUAGGCUACGUCUACACUACAGGAUAAAUUCGAAUUAGCUUAAACUAAUUUUAUAAAACAGAUA